rnacentral:misc_RNA from 1 species
CGCAUCUUGCGCUCUUUGGUAUUCCGAAGAGCAUGCCUGUUUGAGUGUCAUGAAACUCUCACUCUCAUACUUUUUUUUAUUAAGAGUAUUAGAUGUGGAUAUGAGUGCUGCUGGUGUUUACAUCGGCUCACUUGAAAAUUAUUAGCUGAAUACCUGAAAGAUCAUGGUAGUGGAGAUGCGAUAAUAAUUGUUUUCGCAUUUGCUGCCAGCCACAAGCCCUUUCUUGGGAGUGGGUCCGUGAUCUCCAAGCUUCUAACCCCCCGUAGCGGCAAACACAUUUAGUGUCCCGCUGUUUCUGAGAGUUGGCUGAGCAAUCAUGUCCAAUUUUUUGACAUUUGGCCUCAAAUCAGGUAGGACUACCCACUGAACUUAA